rnacentral:misc_RNA from 1 species
GAAAUGCGAUAAGUAGUGUGAAUUGCAGAAUUCAGUGAAUCAUCGAAUCUUUGAACGCACAUUGCGCCCCUUGGUAUUCCAUGGGGCAUGCCUGUUCGAGCGUCAUUUGUACCCUCAAGCUCUGCUUGGUGUUGGGUGUUUGUCCCGUCUCCGCGCGUGGACUCGCCCCAAAGUGAUUGGCAGCCGGCGUACUGGUCCCGGAGCGCAGCACAUGUCGCGCAAACGAGUGCCUUGGUACGGCGGCGUCCAUAAGCCCCUCUCUCACGCUCUUGACCUCGGAUCAGGUAGGGAUACCCGCUGGACUUAAGC